AGAGUUUGAUCCUGGCUCAGGACGAACGCUGGCGGCGNUAACACAUGCAAGUCGAGCGGAAAGGCCUUUCGGGGUACUCGAGCGGCGAACGGGUGAGUAACACGUGGGCAACCUGCCCUCAGCUCUGGGACAACUCCGGGAAACCGGGGCUAAUACCGGAUACGACCACUUCUCGCAUGGGAUGGUGGUGGAAAGAUUUAUUGGCUGGGGAUGGGCCCGCGGCCUAUCAGCUUGUUGGUGGGGUGAUGGCCUACCAAGGCGACGACGGGUAGCCGGCCUGAGAGGGCGACCGGCCACACUGGGACUGAGACACGGCCCAGACUCCUACGGGAGGCAGCAGUGGGGAAUAUUGCGCAAUGGGCGGAAGCCUGACGCAGCGACGCCGCGUGGGGGAUGAAGGCCUUCGGGUUGUAAACCUCUUUCAGCAGGGACGAAGCGAGAGUGACGGUACCUGCAGAAGAAGCACCGGCCAACUACGUGCCAGCAGCCGCGGUAAUACGUAGGGUGCAAGCGUUGUCCGGAAUCAUUGGGCGUAAAGAGCUCGUAGGCGGUCUGUCGCGUCGGCUGUGAAAACUCGGGGCUCAACUCCGAGCCUGCAGUCGAUACGGGCAGACUUGAGUGCUGUAGGGGAGACUGGAAUUCCUGGUGUAGCGGUGAAAUGCGCAGAUAUCAAGAGGAACCCGGUGGCGAAGGCGGGUCUCUGGGCAGUGACUGACGCUGAGGAGCGAAAGCGUGGGGAGCGAACAGGAUUAGAUACCCUAGUAGUCC
rnacentral:rRNA from 1 species